rnacentral:rRNA from 1 species
GACGUAGGGCGCGAGCGUUGUCCGGAUUUAUUGGGCGUAAAGAGCUCGUAGGCGGCUUGUCGCGUCGACUGUGAAAACCCACGGCUUAACUGUGGGCUUGCCGUCGAUACGGGCAGGCUAGAGUUCGGUAGGGGAGACUGGAGUUCCUGGUGUAGCGGUGAAAUGCGCAGAUAUCAGGAGGAACACCGGUGGCGAAGGCGGGUCUCUGGGCCGAUACUGACGCUGAGGAGCGAAAGCGUGGGGAGCGAACAGG